rnacentral:rRNA from 1 species
GUGCCAGCAGCCGCGGUAAUACGUAGGUUGCGAGCGUUAUUCGGAUUUACUGGGCGUAAAGAGCACCGAGGUGGCUUCUUAAGUUGGAUGUGAAAUCUCCUGGCUUAACCGGGAGGCGCCAUUCAAAACUGGGGAGCUUGAGGUCAGCAGGGGAAGGUGGAAUUCCCGGUGUAGUGGUGGAAUGCGUAGAGAUCGGGAGGAACACCAGUGGCGAAAGCGACCUUCUGGGCUGCACCUGACACUCUAGUGCGAAAGCGUGGGGAGCAAACAGGAUUAGAUACCCUGGUAGUCC